GGGCUUAACCCUCUAGCCGCUGGGCACGCGCGGGCUACCGGGGCGGAGGCGUACGGGGGCGGCGAGCGGGGCUCGGCUCCUCCUCGUCCCGCGCCAGCGCCGCGCCCGGCCGCAUUCUCGGGGCCCGAGGCUCAGCCGCUCGCGGUGGAGAAAGCAGGCCGCGGAGGAGGCGGGCGCCCAGGCCUGCCCGGACAGGAAGUGGGCCCAGCUUUCCCACUCCUCGCUCCGCUCCUUCCUCCGCGGGAAGGGCAGGCCCCGGAGGCAGCGAGCGCCCCGGGGGUGGCCGGGCAGCCGGAUGCUCCCGGGGUUGCGGGCUGUGGCCCCGGGGGCUGAGGGCGGCGCGGGUGCGGCGGAAGCAGGGAAGCCGCGAACCGGCCUUCUGGCUGGCCACAGCGCCCUGCACGGACGAUCAGUGAAUGGAGAUUACUCAAGUAUUUAUCGAGAACUUGCAGUGGGCUAGGCACAGUUCAGGUAGAUCAACAAACCGAAAGACCCUGCCCUAGGGGAGCUUUCGCUCCAAUGCGGGGAGAGGGUGGAUGAUUGCAGUUUUGCCCAGUAAUUUUUGGGACCCUCAUGCCACCAUUAAUUAGCUACACACAUUUCACCGAAAGUCUACCUUACAUAUUAAUCAGAAGAAGUGGAAGAAUAAACACAGAAGAAGCAAAAAAGGAAGGAACUUUCUCACUGAAAGUUUCUAUUUAAUAUUAAGUCUUAAAAGUACUCCUGGAAGGACAAAAGGUGUUCUUAAUAAAUUAUAUUCGCAAAUAUUGGAUUUAAUCCUACCAGUAAUGAAGCAGUCAGUUACUUUCUAGAUGUGCAGAAAUACGUAAUGAACAAAAAAAACUAAUUCCUAUUCCAUUUUUUAUUAGGUCCACAGUUAUUUCACUUCUAAAUAAAUAUGGUUUUUUAAAAGUGGCACGCGGUGGAAUGUAAUUGAGACAGGAUGGAGUUCCUAGAGAAAUUUUACUUCCUCAAUCUGCACUCCACCUUACUUAAAAUACAGUCUUGGGUCUGUAAUUCCCUUAUCUGACUCUCAAGGAAAUGACAAAGUAAUGCCUAGAUUGGACUAAACCUCAUUUAACUUCAAGGCUGACCUUUCUCAAAGUUGAACCUUCGUCUUGUGAGGAACAGAAAGAUCAAGAACUCUGAAGCACCUCGACUUUCCACCUGUGAAGAUGUGUUCAAAUUUGCAACGUGCGGCCACACCUAUGAGGUUGAACUUUAUACAAUUGGUUUCUUUAUAGGUUUAGAUGGUUGAAUUUAAGUUACCCCCACUGCUAUUAUUAUUAUUUUGAGACAGAGUCUUAACUCUGUUGCCCAGGCAGGAGUGCAGUGGCGAGAUCUGGACUCACUGCAACCUCUGCCUCCUGGCUUCAAGCAAUUCUCAUGCUUCAGCCUGUAGCUGGAACUACAGGUCACUCCCUCUGGAGGAAACCAGCUGCCACUUUGUGAGGAUACUCAUAGUCCUGUGGAGGCAUAUCCUCCAUAUGGCUGAGACCUCCUGCGAACAACCAUCACUGACUUGCCAGACAUGAGUGUGCCACCUUGGAAGCAGAUUUUCCAGCCCCAGUUAAGCCUUCAGAUGACAUCAGCCCCUGCUAAUCUCUUGACUACAACCUCAUGAGAGACCCUGAGCCAGAACUAGCCAGGUGCUUACCCCUCAUGGUUACAAAGUGGCUGCAACAGCUCCAGGUGUUCUAUCCUUUAACACAGAAUAACUCAAACAACAAGACCCAAUAUUCAGACAAGAAGGAAAGGGACUUUUGGAGAGUGAAGAAAACUUUCCUAGAAACCUCAAACUUCUCCCCAUGCCUUAUUGGCCAGAUUGUAUCCCAUGCCCAUUUCUAAACCAAUCAUUGGCAAAGUGAGUGGAAUUGACGUGAUUAGAUUAACUUUACCAAGAAUGCAUCCUCAGAGAGGCUGAGAAAAAGUCCAGCCUCCUUUGAAGAGCCUGGCUACCUUUCACCUGAACAAAACAAGAAUUCUGAUGAAAAAUGGAGAAUGUAUGUGGAGCAGGCACCCGGAGUGUCUAUGCCAGGAUUUUUUUUCAGUGCGUUUCACCGGUUAUAUUUUUGUCUCUUUACCUUACAAGAUAUGUGGCACGUUUGCCUAAAACAAGCCUUGCUUUCUGAUUUCUGUGCACUAGGCACUUAAACCUUGCAAAUGUCGCUUACCUAACAGUCACUGUCAAGGAGUACCUGGCUAAAGAAUCUCCAGCUAGACAAAGUAGAAGUGUCUGUGCUCUGGCAGUUGAAUAUAUUGUAUCAGGCUCAACAGCACCUUUCACCAAAGGAUGAGACUUCACAACCAUUAGAUCUUCUUUUAUUUUGUUUUUAUUAAAAAAAAAAAUUUUAACACACCAUUGCUAACUUGAAGCCAUUAGAUCUUCUUACCCCCAAUACCACAAAAGUUUAGUGGAAUCAGGGGUAUACCAAGGCAGGUGGAGUAGGGGAGCUGGGAGUGGUCAGCCCCCAGGGCAGGCAAUGAGGGAUUGUGAAUCUGUGAAGAAUUUUAAAGCAAUGAUACAGCUCUAAAUGCAAUGUACUAUCCUGGACUUAGCCCUGGAAAAGAAAAAAGAUAUUAGUGGAAAAACUGGUAAAAUUCAAAUAAUGUCUGUAGUUUGGUUAAUAGUAUUAUACCAAUGUUAAUUUCUGUGUUUUGAUAAAUGUACCAUGGUUAUGUAAGCUGGAUGAAAGAUAUGUGGGAAAUCUCUCUACUAUUUCUGCAACUCUCCUGUAAACCUAAAAAUGUUUCAAAAUAAAAGAUUUAAUGCUAAAAUUGAC
rnacentral:lncRNA from 1 species